GUAGUGGCGGUGGGAAGUCUGAUGGGUGGAAGGUACCAAAAGGUCACACCCUAAAACUAAACGUGAAGACAACAUGCAAUACUCAAUGAGAGGUGGGGUUUGGAGCGGCGUUGCGGGACUCUCAAGGGCUGGUCGUGGUGGCUGCUUUGGUGUUCAUGCCAACUCAAGUCGAUAUCUUAGCGACAGAAGCUUUAACUCUGUUUCAUGGUCUGAAGUUGGCUGAUUGUUUGAGUUGCAAAAAUCAAUGGGUUGAAUUGGAUCUGCAAGUGCUAGUCAAAGCGAUUCAUUCUCACAGAUUGAUUUUCUCUCCCUGAGCGUUAUUUUGGAAGAAAUUCGAGAUGGAAUGAUUCAAGCUCGUACUAUAGGCUUUCAAUUUUUCUCUAGAUCUUUUGAUUGUACCGCCCAGAGAUGGCGGGUUGGGCUGUGUCUAAUCACAAGAGUUGUGAGUGUGUCGGUAUUUGUUUCUCG
rnacentral:misc_RNA from 1 species